CUGAUCCAGAGAACCUCAACAGAUGAACAGUGUAAAGAACCAUAGUUUGUUAAUGCCUUUCUAAAAUAUUUUGUCUGCUGUUAAUAGUGCCAUUUUUCUGAGAUCUGCUCUUAACUUUUCUGCUCCACAGAAUUUUGGCUUCAGUGUCUAUGUUCUUCUGCGAGCUAUGCUCCCUGCCACUGUUGAUAGGGGUCAGGUCUCAGAGAACUUGCUUUCCCAGGAACUGCUCUGUCUAAAACACACCGUCUCAUCUUUACUAAUAAACUAA
ensembl:lincRNA